rnacentral:sRNA from 1 species
GCUGGGGGUGGUGGCACACAUCUGUAAUCCCAGCAACUCAGGAAGCUGAGGCAGGAGGAUCACAGGUUGUGAAAUCAGACUUGACAACUUAGUGAGGCUCUAAGCCACCUAGUGACACCCUGUCUCAA